rnacentral:rRNA from 1 species
AGUGAACGCUGGCGGUAGGCCUAACACAUGCAAGUCGAACGGCAGCACAGUGAGAGCUUGCUCUUACGGGUGGCGAGUGGCGGACGGGUGAGGAAUACAUCGGCAUCUACUUUUUCGUGGGGGAUAACGUAGGGAAACUUACGCUAAUACCGCAUACGACCUACGUGUGAAAGCAGGGGAUCUUCGGACCUUGCGCGAUUGAAGGAGCCGAUGUCGGAUUAGCUAGUUGGCGGGGUAAAGGCCCACCAAGGCGACGAUCCGUAGCUGGUCUGAGAGGAUGAUCAGCCACACUGGAACUGAGACACGGUCCAGACUCCUACGGGAGGCAGCAGUGGGGAAUAUUGGACAAUGGGCGAAAGCCUGAUCCAGCCAUACCGCGUGGGUGAAGAAGGCCUUCGGGUUGUAAAGCCCUUUUGUUGGGAAAGAAAAGCAGCAGGUUAAUACCCCGCUGUUUUGACGGUACCCAAAGAAUAAGCACCGGCUAACUUCGUG